UACGGAGGGUGCAAACGUUGCUCGGAAUUAUUGGGCGUAAAGCGCACGUAGGCGGUCCAGCAAGUCGGGUGUGAAAGCCCUCGGCUUAACCGAGGAAGUGCAUUCGAAACUACUGGACUUGAAUACUGAAGAGGAUCGCGGAAUUCCCGGUGUAGAGGUGAAAUUCGUAGAUAUCUGGAGGAACACCGGUGGCGAAGGCGGCAUCCUGGACCACGACUGACGCUGAGUGAGCGAAAGCCAGGGGAGCAAACGGG
rnacentral:rRNA from 1 species